GAUGAACGCUGGCGGCGUGCCUAAUACAUGCAAGUCGAGCGAACAGACGAGGAGCUUGCUCCUCUGACGUUAGCGGCGGACGGGUGAGUAACUCGUGGAUAACCUACCUAUAAGACUGGGAUAACUUCGGGAAACCGGAGCUAAUACCGGAUAAUAUAUUGAACCGCAUGGUUCAAUAGUGAAAGACGGUUUUGCUGUCACUUAUAGAUGGAUCCGCGCCGCAUUAGCUAGUUGGUAAGGUAACGGCUUACCAAGGCAACGAUGCGUAGCCGACCUGAGAGGGUGAUCGGCCACACUGGAACUGAGACACGGUCCAGACUCCUACGGGAGGCAGCAGUAGGGAAUCUUCCGCAAGGGGCGAAAGCCUGACGGAGCAACGCCGCGUGAGUGAUGAAGGUCUGCGGAUCGUAAAACUCUGUUAUUAGGGAAGAACAAAUGUGUAAGUAACUAUGCACGUCUUGACGGUACCUAAUCAGAAAGCCACGGCUAACUACGU
rnacentral:rRNA from 1 species